AUUCUACCCAUGCGGGGAAGGAUGAGAAGCUUCGACUAAGGUUCGAUUCGAGCGAAAGCGAGAAAG
rnacentral:sRNA from 1 species